UAAAUGUGUCUGCAUGUGCAUGUCUAUGUGCACAUGUGCACACACACACACACACAUACACACACACACACACACACACA
rnacentral:miRNA from 1 species